ACCAAUUUAGGACCCCCUUGACUUCGUCAUCUUCAAUCGCAGCCUUAGAGAACACCAAACGACCCCUGCCCUGGAUCUUCUUCAGUGCUAAGGCACAAACAAAGACCCACCCUCCCGCCUGUCUUCUUCUCAGUCCUCACGCCACCAAGCGACCACCCCUGUAACCUAGCGCCGCUACUCACCCCCAAACAACCAUAAAAAACAUCCACUCCUAUUGCCAUCUUAUCCACUCUUCAACUCCACACACACAUACAUAUACACGAAAUAGAGGGGAACAACCAAAGAAGAACAAAACAGAGAAAUUUUUGGACAAACAAUGGGGUUUGCUUGAGGUUGGAGUUGUGUUCGCCGUUCGGGUUCGUUACGAUUCGCAUUCCUGUUUAACUCUUGUUGCCGAUUUUAGUUGAUUUCGGAUUCAAAUGCAGCGGCCGAUUUUUCUAUUUUCAAUUAUUAAGAGAAUACUUGCGUUUUCAGAUUCAGGUACUUCUGAACCCGGUAGCGGGUAUUAGUUGAUCGGAGGCAGAGUCAUCGGAGUUUAGCAAGGUAGAUGCCGGCGUUCGCAACACUGCUUUUCUACCUCUCCAUUUUAUUAGUCUGUAUUUUGUACAUUUCAAAAUUUUCAGUUGUAUUUAGACCCUAGUAGAUGCUUGUGACUUGUGACACCCCGGUAUCGGGCUAUGUUUGGGCUGUAUUCCGCACAUUAUACUAUCUUUUGCUUA